rnacentral:lncRNA from 1 species
UCAAGACUCCUGGAAGAAUGUUCUAUGGCCAAAAAGGGGGAACAUUUAGGAUGACAUGGGUCCCGUUAUGUCUGGUUGAAAACCUAACUCUGCAUUACUGCCAUGGUGGUGUUAGGAAAUACAGAGGAGGACAGGAGAUCAGUGAGGAGGACAGGAGAUCAGUGAGGAGGACAGGAGAUCAGAGAGGAGGACAGAAGAUCAGAGAGGAGGACAGGAGGUCAGAGAGGAGAGGAGGACAGGAGGUCAGAGAGGAGGACAGGAGAUCAGAGAGGAGG